rfam:Triticum aestivum genome assembly, contig: Triticum_aestivum_CS42_TGACv1_scaffold_434828_5DL
UAAAUACUUCCUCCAUCCUAAAAUUAUUGUCUUAGAUUUAUCUAGAUACAGAUGUACCUAAUACUAAAAUGUAAUUUGAUACAUCCGUAUUUAAACAAAUCUAAGACAGAAAUUUUGGGACAGAGAGACUAAAAA